rnacentral:rRNA from 1 species
GAGUUUGAUCAUGGUUCAGGAUGAACGCUAGCGGGAGGCCUAACACAUGCAAGUCGAACGGGAUUGAGAGCUUGCUCUCAUGAGAGUGGCGCACGGGUGAGUAACGCGUAUGCAACCUGCCUAUAACAGAGGGAUAGCCCAUAGAAAUGUGGAUUAAUACCUCAUAGUUCUGAGAAGUCGCAUGAUUUUUCAGAUAAAACUCCGGUGGUUAUAGAUGGGCAUGCGUGACAUUAGCUAGUUGGUAAGGUAACGGCUUACCAAGGCAACGAUGUCUAGGGGUUCUGAGAGGAUGAUCCCCCACACUGGUACUGAGACACGGACCAGACUCCUACGGGAGGCAGCAGUGAGGAAUAUUGGUCAAUGGGCGCAAGCCUGAACCAGCCAUCCCGCGUGCAGGAUGACGGCCCUAUGGGUUGUAAACUGCUUUUAUACACCAAGAAAAAACAGGACGAGUCUUGGUCUGACGGUAGUGUAUGAAUAAGCAUCGGCUAACUCCGUGCCAGCAGCCGCGGUAAUACGGAGGAUGCAAGCGUUAUCCGGAUUCAUUGGGGUUUAAAGGGUGCGUAGGCGGCUUUUUAAGUCAGUGGUGAAUCUUGCCGCUUAACGGUAAAAUUGCCUUGA